rnacentral:rRNA from 1 species
GGGAAGUAAGGAGGGCAAAUGAAGCUCAGUUGGGUCUCGUGGAGCAUGAUGACAAGGCCCAAGCAUUGUGGAGGACUAGGUUCCGAUAUUGAGCUUUUUAAUCUUGCACUACUUGCUAGGCAGGCUUGGCGCAUACUAGUGGAACCGAAUUCUUUGAGCGCAAGGGUCUCGAAAGCAAAGUACUUUCUCUCUUGUGAUUUCCUGCUGGUAGAGCUAGGGGGUGCGCCGUCGCAAAUUUGGAGAGUUGUCCUAGAUGGACGAGACACCCGAAAGUAGGGCACGAUUCGGCGGAUUAGUGAUGGACAUUCACAAAUAUUUGGCAGCACAACUGGAUUCCCCGCCCAUCCUACAUGA